UGCGUAGGCGGCUUGGUAAGUCAGAUGUGAAAUCCUGGGGCUCAACCUCGGAACUGCAUUUGAUACUGCCAGGCUAGAGUACUGGAGAGGAGACUGGAAUUUACGGUGUAGCAGUGAAAUGCGUAGAUAUCGUAAGGAAGGCCAGUGGCGAAGGCGAGUCUCUGGACAGUAACUGACGCUGAGGCACGAAGGCGUAGGGGAGCAAACG
rnacentral:rRNA from 1 species